CGGCGGAUGCUUACACAUGCAGUCGUACGGGCGGGGGUGACCUCGUCAGUGGCGGACGGGUGAGUAACGCGUAGGUAUCUGUCCUUGGGUGGGGGAUAACCGUGGGAAACUGCGGCUAAUACCGCAUAUGUCCUGAGGGGCAAAGGCCUGAGAGGGUCGCCUGAGGGUGAGCCUGCGUCCGAUUAGCUGGUUGGUGGGGUAAUGGCCUACCAAGGCGAUGAUCGGUAGCUGGUCUGAGAGGAUGGUCAGCCACACUGGGACUGAGACACGGCCCAGACUCCUACGGGAGGCAGCAGUGGGGAAUAUUGGACAAUGGGCGAAAGCCUGAUCCAGCAAUGCCGCGUGGGUGAAGAAGGUCUUCGGAUUGUAAAGCCCUUUCGGCGGGGACGAUGAUGACGGUACCCGCAGAAGAAGCCCCGGCUAACUUCGUGCCAGCAGCCGCGGUAAU
rnacentral:rRNA from 1 species